rnacentral:sRNA from 1 species
UUAUGACUGCGUGAGGGAUUGAAGUGGAGCUCUUUUUGUGAGCGACGACUUUUUAGUCGCUCACAAAAAAGCGGGAACGUAAAGCCCGACCCGAA